UGGCACGAAGUUUGAAAACUCCGGGUUCC
rnacentral:piRNA from 1 species